UACUACAGGACACAGCCAGUCAGAUGGGUAGUUACCAGGUUGGUGAUGGUUACUACAGGACACAGCCAGUCAGAUGGGUAGUUACCAGGUUGGUGAUGGUUGCUACAGGACACAGCCAGUCAGAUGGGUAGUUACCAGGUUGGUGAUGGUUACUACAGGACACAGCCAGUCAGAUGGGUAGUUACCAGGUUGGUGAUGGUUGCUACAGGACACAGCCAGUCAGAUGGGUAGUUACCAGGUUGCUGAUGGUUACUACAGGACACAGCCAGUCAGAUGGGUAGUUACCAGGUUGGUGAUGGUUACUACAGGACACAGCCAGUCAGAUGGGUAGUUACCAGGUUGGUGAUGGAUCCGAAAGAAAGCUGCAGUAAGUCUACCUGUCACAAAUUUAAAGCUGCAAUAUGUACAGUGGGGGAAAAAGUAUUUGAUCCCCUGCUGAUUUUGUACGUUUG
rnacentral:lncRNA from 1 species